UGUGACUCCAUGUGCGCGGAGAGUUCGUCAGCUCCCGGUCCCCGCCUGCGCCCGCAGGGGGAGGGGAAGGGAAGGGCCGCGUGCGCGGGCCGGGCCGGGCUCAGCUCCGAGGAGCUGCCUGAGUUCUGCUCCUGGACACCCGGCUCAGGAGCGUUAUCAGCAUGGAAGCAUGUCCUCUGGAAUGGUGGCCGAAGCAUGAAGGGGCAUAUGAAUGUUUAGCAUACCUGACACAUAAAUACCUUGCAACAUCGGCUACAAAAGUGCCAUGCAAACGCCUGUUCUCACUUUCAGGUGACAUUGUAAAUAAGAAGCAGUCAGCAGUAUCUCCCGUAAAUGUAAACAAACUUGUUUGUCUUAGCGAUUGGCUGAACAAGAAGUAGGACUGUGUGGACUUGUAGGCUCUAAAGUUUUACAUUGCUUUGUUUUUGAGUGCAGUUAUGUAACAAAAAAAAAUCUACAUUUGUAAGUUACACUUUCACGGUAAAGAGAUUGCACUACAGUACUUGUAUGAGGUGAAUGGAAAAAUACUAUUUCUUUUAUCAUUUUUAGUGCAAAUAUUUGUAAUAAAAAAUAAGUGAGCACUGUA